rnacentral:piRNA from 1 species
UACCUUAAACAGGAGCUAGAAGGUUCUUGU